rnacentral:rRNA from 1 species
UACGGAGGGGGCAAGCGUUGUUCGGAAUUACUGGGCGUAAAGGGCGCGCAGGCGGCUGCUCAAGUCAGGCGUGAAAGGCCUGGGCUCAACCUGGGAAUUGCGCUUGAGACUGGGCUGGCUUGAGUGCGGGAGAGGGACGUGGAAUUCCAGGUGUAGCGGUGAAAUGCGUAGAUAUCUGGAGGAACACCGGUGGCGAAGGCGACGUCCUGGACCGGCAUUGACGCUGAGGCGCGAAAGCCAGGGGAGCAAAGCGGGG